rnacentral:rRNA from 1 species
GAAUAUUGGACAAUGGGGGGAACCCUGAUCCAGCCAUGCCGCGUGUGUGAAGAAGGCCUUUUGGUUGUAAAGCACUUUAAGCGAGGAGGAGGCUACUCUAGUUAAUACCUAGAGAUAGUGGACGUUACUCGCCGAAUAAGCCCAGGCUAACUCUGUGCAAGCAGCCGCGGUAAUACAGAGGGUGCAAGCUUUAAGAGGAUUUAAUGGGCGUAAAGCGCGCGUAGGUGGCCAAUUAAGUCAAAUGUGAAAUCCCCGAGCUUAACUUGGGAAUUGCAUUCGAUACUGGUUGGCUAGAGUAUGGGAGAGGAUGGUGGAAUUCCAGGUGUAGCGGUGAAAUGCGUAGAGAUCUGGAGGAAUACCGAUGGCGAAGGCAGCCAUCUGGCCUAAUACUGACACUGAGGUGCGAAAGCAUGGGGAGCAAACAG